UACGGGGGGGGCAAGCGUUGUUCGGAAUUAUUGGGCGUAAAGCGUAUGUAGGCGGCUAGGUAAGUCAGGCGUGCAAGCCCGUGGCUCAACCACGGAAUUGCGUUUGAAACUGCUUAGCUUGAGUACAGGAGAGGAAAGCGGAAUUCCCAGUGUAGCGGUGAAAUGCAUUGAUAUUGGGAAGAACAUCUGUGGCGAAGGCGGCUUUCUGGUCUGUUACUGACGCUGAGAUACGAAAGCCAGGGGAGCAAAGGGG
rnacentral:rRNA from 1 species